rnacentral:rRNA from 1 species
UACGGAGGAUCCAAGCGUUAUCCGGAUUUAUUGGGUUUAAAGGGUGCAUAGGCGGCCUAUUAAGUCAGGGGUGAAAGACGGUAGCUUAACUAUCGCAGUGCCUUUGAUACUGAUGGGCUUGAAUGUACUUGAGGUAGGCGGAAUGUGACAAGUAGCGGUGAAAUGCAUAGAUAUGUCACAGAACACCAAUUGCGAAGGCAGCUACUAAGUAUGAUUGACGCUGAGGCACGAAGCGUGGAUC